rnacentral:lncRNA from 1 species
AGGCGGAGCGGCCCGGCGGGGUGGGGGCAGCGCGGGCGGAGACGUGCCGAGGUGUGAGCGCUGCCCUGGGUGCGGGUGGCACAGCGAGAUGCGGAUGCGAGCAGGGCUGAGCGUAUUGAGCGCUGCCAGGCGGUGCUUUGAUGUGUUCUCCUAACUGGAGGCCAGCAGCUGUGAAGACAAGCAUCACCUCGGACUGUAAUACCUGAGGAGUUCCAACAGAGCAGAGUGGGUGUCCAUCGAGCAAAAAAGGCAGUGGUGCAGCAGAGAGAAGCGGUGCAUGUCCUGCACACAGGGAUUGUUCAUUCAGAAGUUACAGAAAGGGGAAGGAACCGGGGGCAACCCAGAGAGCUCUUAUCUCAUCGUGGAUCUUCUGCUCUGGAUCUGAAACUCAGCAAUGCACUCCAAA